CCUACGGGGCGCAGCAGUGGGGAAUAUUGGACAAUGGGCGAAAGCCUGAUCCAGCCAUGCCGCGUGUGUGAAGAAGGCCUUCGGGUUGUAAAGCACUUUCAGUGGGGAAGAAAGCCUUGGGGCUAAUACCCUCGAGGAAGGACAUCACCCACAGAAGAAGCACCGGCUAACUCCGUGCCAGCAGCCGCGGUAAUACGGAGGGUGCGAGCGUUAAUCGGAAUUACUGGGCGUAAAGCGCGCGUAGGCGGUCUGAUAAGCCGGUUGUGAAAGCCCCGGGCUCAACCUGGGAACGGCAUCCGGAACUGUCAGGCUAGAGUGCAGGAGAGGAAGGUAGAACUCCCGGUGUAGCGGUGAAAUGCGUAGAGAUCGGGAGGAAUACCAGUGGCGAAGGCGGCCUUCUGGACUGACACUGACGCUGAGGUGCGAAAGCGUGGGUAGCAAACAGGAUUAGAUACCCUGGUAGUC
rnacentral:rRNA from 1 species